ACUCYUACGGGAGGCAGCAGUAAGGAAUAUUGCGCAAUGGGCGAAAGCCUGACGCAGCGACGCCGCGUGGGGGAUGAAGGUCUUCGGAUUGUAAACCCCUUUCGGGAGGGAAGAUGGAAUGGGGUAACCCAUUCGGACGGUACCUCCAGAAGCAGCCACGACUAACUUCGUGCCAGCAGCCGCGGUAAUACGAAGGUGGCAAGCGUUAUUCGGAUUUACUGGGCGUMCAGGGAGCGUAGGCGGUUCGGUAAGCCCUCUGUGAAAUCUCCAGGCUUAACCUGGAAAAGUCGGGGGGGACUGCUGGGCUAGAGGACGGGAGAGGAGCGCGGAAUUCCCGGUGUAGCGGKGAAAUGCGUAGAGAUCGGGAGGAAGGCCGGUGGCGAAGGCGGCGCUCUGGAACGUUUCUGACGCUGAGSCUCGAAAGCGUGGGGAGCAAACAGGAUUAGAUACCCUGGUAGUCCACGCCUUAAACUAUGAAUACUAAGUGUCGGCGGUUUACCGCCGGUGCCGCAGCUAACGCAUUAAGUAUUCCGCCUGGRAAGUACGGCCGCAAGGUUGAAACUCAAAUGAAUUGACGGAAGUC
rnacentral:rRNA from 1 species